CACAAACACAUCUGGGAGGGAGUGUGAACAGGUUGCCUUUUUCCUCUACAAUGGGGUGUCGCUAGGUCAAUUUGUACUGCAGGUAACUCAUCCACGUUACUUGAAGAACUCCCUGGUUUACCACCCACAGCUGCGAGCACAGGUUUGGCGGUACCUGACAUACAUCUUCAUGCAUGCAGGGAUAGAACACCUGGGACUCAAUGUGGUGCUGCAGCUGCUGGUGGGGGUGCCCCUGGAGAUGGUGCAUGGAGCCACCCGAAUUGGGCUUGUCUACGUGGCCGGUGUUGU
rnacentral:lncRNA from 1 species